AUGCCCACUUCAGCAACACAUAUACUAAAAUUGGAAUGAUGUAGAGAUUAGCAUGGCCCCUACUCAAGGAUGACAUGCAAAUUCAUAAAGUAAUCCAUAUAUUU